rnacentral:misc_RNA from 1 species
UUUCCGUAGGUGAACCUGCGGAAGGAUCAUUAUUGAAUAAACCUGAUGUGGUUGUAGCUGGCCCUUUCGGGAGCAUGUGCACACCCGUCGUCUUUAUCUUUCCACCUGUGCACCUUUUGUAGACCUGGAUGUAACACUUUCCGAGGCUACUCGGUCGGGAGGAAUGCUGUCAGCUUUCCUUGAAUGUCCAGGCCUAUGUUUUCAUAUACCCCAAAGAAUGUAACAGAAUGUAUUAUUGGGCCUUGUGCCUAUAAACUAUAUACAACUUUCAGCAACGGAUCUCUUGGCUCUC